rnacentral:rRNA from 1 species
GAAAAUUACAAGCAUAAGCUUAAAACUCAAAGGACUUGGCGGCGCUUUAGACCCACCUAGAGGAGCCUGUCCUAUAACCGAUAACCCCCGUUAAACCUUACCUUCUUUUGCCUCCAGUCUAUAUACCGCCGUCGUCAGCUUACCCUUUGAGGGUUUAUUAGUAAGCAAAAUCGAUUUAGCCCCAAACGUCAGGUCGAGGUGUAGCAUAUAAGAAGUGAAGAGAUGGGCUACAUUUCCUAUUAAAGGGCUUACGAAUAAUGCUUUGAAACAAGCAUAUUGAAGUAGGAUUUAGCAGUAAGUAAAAAAUAGAGUGUUUU